rnacentral:rRNA from 1 species
UACGUAGGGUGCGAGCGUUAAUCGGAAUUACUGGGCGUAAAGGGUGCGUAGGUGGUUGUUUAAGUCUGCUGUGAAAGCCCCGGGCUCAACCUGGGAAUGGCAGUGGAUACUGGACAGCUAGAGUGCGGUAGAGGGUAGUGGAAUCUCCGGUGUAGCGGUGAAAUGCGUAGAUAUCGGAAGGAACACCAGUGGCGAAAGCGGCUUCCUGGUCCAGCACCGACGUUCAGGCACGAAAGCGUGGGGAGCAAACAGG